CAGGCAUUUCCAUUAAGUUAAUGUAAUGUGGCGCGCUGCGCUAACAUUGAGUCAGUCGUUACGAACGUGGUAAAGAAACAUACAGGAAACGAAGAGUUUCUUAAAGGAAAAUGCAGCCAGGUGGAGCAGGGUAAGGGGCAGCCAUGACUCGACUACCCCGGCCCAUUCUGCAUCUCCACGGUGUUAAUGGCAACCUAAUCCCAGCGGCUUUGAAACGGUUGUAAAUAGCAUCAAGGAGAAGCAUUGCAUUGCUGCUGGGGGGGUUGUCGAAAAAGG